ACCUGGUCUUGACAUCCACGGAAGUUUUCAGAGAUGAGAAUGUGCCUUCGGGAACCGUGAGACAGGUGCUGCAUGGCUGUCGUCAGCUCGUGUUGUGAAAUGUUGGGUUAAGUCCCGCAACGAGCGCAACCCUUAUCCUUUGUUGCCAGCGGUCCGGCCGGGAACUCAAAGGAGACUGCCAGUGAUAAACUGGAGGAAGGUGGGGAUGACGUCAAGUCAUCAUGGCCCUUACGACCAGGGCUACACACGUGCUACAAUGGCGCAUACAAAGAGAAGCGACCUCGCGAGAGCAAGCGGACCUCAUAAAGUGCGUCGUAGUCCGGAUUGGAGUCUGCAACUCGACUCCAUGAAGUCGGAAUCGCUAGUAAUCGUGGAUCAGAAUGCCACGGUGAAUACGUUCCCGGGCCUUGUACACACCG
rnacentral:rRNA from 1 species